GACGAACGCUGGCGGCGUGCUUAACACAUGCAAGUCGAACGGAAAGGCCUGCUUUCCCUUGUGGAUUGCGGGUACUCGAGUGGCGAACGGGUGAGUAACACGUGAGUGAUCUGCCCCCAACUUGGGUAUAAGCCUGGGAAACUGGGUCUAAUUCCCGAUAGGACUGCAGGGUGGUGCCUGUGGUGGAAAACGAUUUUCUAGUGGUUGGGGAUGAGCUCGCGGCCUAUCAGCUUGUUGGUGGGGUAAUGGCCUACCAAGGCGGCGACGGGUAGCCGGCCUGGGAGGGUGGACGGGCACAGUGGGACUGAGAUACGGGCCAGACUCCUACGGGAGGCAGCAGUGGGGAAUAUUGCACAAUGGGCGGAAGCCUGAUGCAGCGACGCCGCGUGGGGGAUGACGGCCUUCGGGUGGUAAACUCCUUUCGACCGCGAGGAAGCCACCUGGUUGGAAGGGUGGUGACGGUAGUGGUAGAAGAAGCACCGGCUAACUACGUG
rnacentral:rRNA from 1 species